GGCUGAGGGACAUUGAGGACACACUGCUGAGCAGGGGUCUCCACCAUGGCCUGGGCUCCUCUCCUGCUCACACUGCUGGCUCACUGCACAGGGUCCUGGACCCAGUCGGUGGUGACUCAGCCAUCUGAAGUGUCCAAGCCUGUGAAUAAAAGUGUUACCAUCUCCUGCACGGGAAGCAGCAGCAAUGUUGGGGCUGGAGGUGUGUCCUGGUACCAGCAGCUCCCAGGCAGUGUCCCCAAAGUUCUCAUCUAUGGUAGCAGUGCUCGGCCUGCGGGGGUCUCGUCUAGAUUCACAGGCUCCAGGUCAGGGAACGUGGCCUCCCUGAGCAUCUCUAGCCUCCAGGCUGAGGAUGAGGCUGAUUAUUACUGCUCAGUGUGGGACCACAGUCUCAAAGCUCACACACUGCUCCAGGCCUGUGGGGAAGUGAGACCCAAACCUGCUGUCCCCUCAGCAAUGGGACUUCCUGUGCAGCUCACACCCUUUGGCUGACACAGCUGCUUCUUUGUUCAUUUCUUCUAAAAGUGGAGUCUUAGAGCAAGGCUAGGGAAUUUUUUCUAGAAAAAGUGUCCUUGUUCUCCCAAAUUGUGCCAUUAAACCCAGCCCUA